rnacentral:tRNA from 1 species
UCCCUGGUGGCUCAGUUGGUAAAGAAUCUGCCUGCAAUGCAGGAGACCUAGGUUCAAUCCCUGGGCCAGGGCA